rnacentral:rRNA from 1 species
UCGAGCGAGAAACCCCGCUUCGGCGGGGGAGUACAGCGGCGAACGGGUGAGUAACACGUGAGUAACCUGCCUCCGGGUUCGGGAUAGCCCCGGGAAACCGGGAUUAAUACCGGAUAUGGCGCGGCGUGCGCAUGCACGCGGCGGCAAAGGUUUAUCCGCCCGGAGAGGGGCUCGCGCCCCAUUAGCUUGUCGGCGGGGUAACGGCCCGCCGAGGCGAAGAUGGGUAGCUGGUCUGAGAGGAUGAUCAGCCACACUGGGACUGAGACACUGCCCAGACUCCUACGGGAGGCUGCAGUCGAGAAUCUUCGGCAAUGGGCGCAAGCCUGACCGAGCGAUGCCGCGUGAGGGAAGAAGGCCUUCGGGUCGUAAACCUCUGUCAGGAGGGACGAAAUCUGACGGUACCUCCAGAGGAAGCCAUGGCUAACUACGUGCCAGCAGCCGCGGUAACACGUAGGUGGCGAGCGUUAUUCGGAAUCACUGGGGGUAAAGGGUCGGCAGGGGGUCUGCCAAGUCCGGCGUGAAAGCCCGCGGCUCAACCGCGGGAAGUGCACUGGAAACUGGUGGACUCGAGUACAGGAGAGGAGAGCGGAAUUCCCGGUGUAGCGGUGGAAUGCGUAGAUAUCGGGAGGAACACCAACGGCGAAGGCAGCUCUCUGGCCUGUCACUGACCCUCAGGGACGAAAGCGUGGGCAGCGAACAGGAUUAGAUACCCUGGUAGUCCACGCCGUAAACGUUGUGCACUCGAUGCGGGACCUUCGGGUUCCGUGUCCAAGCCAACGCGUUAAGUGCACCGCCUGGGGACUACGGCCGCAAGGCUAAAACUCAAAGGAAUUGACGGGGGCCCGCACAACCGGUGGAGCAUGUGGCUCAAUUCGAGGCUACGCGAAGAACCUUACCCGGGCUUGACAUAUACCGGCCCGCCUGUGAAAGCAGGCUUUCCCGUUCUGCGGGACCGGUAUACAGGUGCUGCAUGGCUGUCGUCAGCUCGUGCCGUGAGGUGUUCGGUUAAGUCCGGCAACGAGCGCAACCCGCGCCGUCAGUUGCCAGCGGUAAUGCCGGGGACUCUGACGGGACUGCCCGUGUUAAGCGGGAGGAAGGAGCGGAUGACGUCAAGUCCGCAUGGCCCUUACGCCCGGGGCUGCACACGUGCUACAAUGGCCGGUACAGAAGGAUGCGAUGCCGCGAGGCGGAGCGAAUCCUGAAAGCCGGUCCCAGUUCGGAUCGGAGUCUGCAACCCGACUCCGUGAAGCCGGAAUCGGUAGUAAAGGCGGAUCAGCCACGCCGCCUUGAAUACGUUCCCGGGCCUUGUACACACCGCCCGUCACAUCAUGGGAGUCGGAUGCACCCGAAGUCCCCGCGGAACAGCGGGGUCGAAGGUGUGUCCGGCGACCGGGAUGAAGUCGUAAC